CUUCCCUCCGCUUCGUGCUGUCCUUUCCCCUGCGGCCUCUGCUCUGGCGGGAGUACCCCGGCCGAGCUCCCAGACACGUGCGGAGGGGGACAGGCAUGGGCUUUGGACAGAGGCAGCACCAGGCAAAUACUUACCACUCAGGGUGAUGCUGGGGAUUAUCCAAUAAGGCUGACUUAGUUGCUGCUUCUGUGGAAAGUGACAUCCUGGAUUCCACUGCGGAACUGGAUGACUUGAAAGUAGGGCAUCAUUGGCCCUCCUGAAGAGAGGAAAUUAGUGGCUGGUGAAGUGUCGGUAUGGCAUUCUCAGAUGCCUUUACCUGAGAGAGAAAUCUGCCUCCAUCAGGACCUCAGAUGUCUGACAGCCCUAUGUGACACCAGGAUAGGAUAUUCCUGUAAGUAAACUGCAGGACAUGUGGUGCUUUGCAACACUGACAACAUUUACUGCGUGUUGGUGAUGUGCCAGAAUUGUAAACUCAUUCUACAUAUCUUAAUCCUCUCAUCAGGCCUGCAAGAGAAAGAAUGUGGUGGGAAGCGGGAGAGAGAGAAUCUUAAGCAGGCUCCAGGCCUCUGCAGAUCCCGAUGUUGGACUCCAUGUCACCAGCCUGAGAUCAUGACCUGAAUGAAGAGUUGGACCUUCAACCACCUAAUGAUCCAACCAGGAGCAGAGCCUCUUCUUUCAUCUAAGAUCUCGAAACAACAUAAAGGGAAGUUUUAGCCAAGAUUACUUGGAGUCAAAAGUCUCACCAAGUGGAAGGCAGAUACGGUUUUGAAUGGACGACGCAAGACUCAAUGAGGAAUUUGGAUUCCCCAAAAUUUCAUUCCAGAGCUAACCCCAGUAGGCUUUAAACAUCACUUAAUUUGGAGGAGCCUCAGUUCUUAAUGGUUAUACAACGUAAAUGCAGAUGUGGGAUUGCAGUAACACUCUUUUCACCAUGGCUAUUUAAAAAUUGUCCCUUGGGGGGUGCCUGGGUGGCUCAGUGGGUUGAGCCACUGCCUUCGG